UACGUGGGUGGCAAGCGUUGUUCGGAAUUACUGGGCGUAAAGGGCUCGUAGGCGGCCAACUAAGUCGGAUGUGAAAUCCCCAGGCUUAACCUGGGAACUGCAUCCGAUACUGGAUGGCUUGAAUCCGGGAGAGGGAUGCAGAAUUCCAGGUGUAGCGGUGAAAUGCGUAGAUAUCUGGAGGAAUACCGGUGGCGAAGGCGGCAUCCUGGCCCGGCAUUGACGCUGAUGCGCGAAAGCUAGGGGAGCAAACGGG
rnacentral:rRNA from 1 species